rnacentral:rRNA from 1 species
UACGAGGGGGGCGAGCGUUGUUCGGAAUUAUUGGGCGUAAAGGGUGGUAGCGUUUGUAAGUUCUUAUGUGAAUCAUAUGGGCGUCAACAUCAUAGACUGCAUGAGAAACUGCAGGGCUUGAGUAUGGGAGAGGUGAGUGGAAUUCCUGGUGUAGCGGUGAAAUGCGUAGAUAUCAGGAGGAACACCUGUGGCGAAAGCGGCUCACUGGACCAUAACUGACGCUGAUGCACGAAAGCUAGGGGAGCAAACAGG